ensembl:lncRNA
GCGCCUUCUAAAUUUAGCUCUGACAUAGAAUUAGUGAGUGGUUUCUGUAGUGGAAAGCAAUGGCCCAGUGGUUACUAAGCAACUGGUGCCUGGCAACCUUGUUGGUAAGCAUCGAUUCUGCUGGCGGUAUUCAAAGCAGAGAAAGGUAAAAACGCCUUUGUGCUGCUUUGACGGAUGUGGAUUCAGGACGAGAAGCAGAUCCACCGGUUGAUUUGUGUGAGCUCCGCCGACGACUGAUGGGACGGAUCCUUUUACAGAAGAGGCCCGUUGCUCCAGCGGUUCAGGAGCCGAACCCACCAAUAAAGAUCCUGGCUCGUUAAGCCCCGCCCACUCCAGCCAAGCUCGGCUCAUGGGUUAUUCUUGUUAAAUCAAAGACAUGGAGGAGCUCUGAAGCAUCAUGGGAAAAUCCAGCCGGUAACACGCCACCUGUGGUCCUGGAAGCUAAACGUGAACCGAUGCCCCCCCCCCCCACAACCCCCUGCCCACCCGGUCCGGCUGUUUGUUCAACAUUCGGACGCCAGGUUCAAUCUGCGUCGUUCUUCAUCCAUGACAUGACGUUCAUGAGGAGGGGAAAGAAGAGGGCAAAGGUCAGGAGGUGGAAAACAGUUGCUCAGAAGCCUUUGACUCACAUGCGCGCACAUGCACACACACACACACACACACACACUAUACACGUGUGCAGUGUGAGGUGAUGCCGAGCCGAGAAUAGUCAUUACAGCCAGAUUAGCCUCUCAUCCCCUGUGAAAUAGGCUAUUUCCCAGCGAGGUGGCAACACAGAGGUCACAAGUCUGUCCUUUUUGUUAGAGCUGUGUGUGGGUGUGUGUCUGUGUGUGUGUGUGUAACCACUGUGGAGGUUGUCAUGGAGAAGUUCCUGUAUUUAAUAGGCAGAGCAAAUUGUUUGGCCACACUAGUGUGAAGUCUUCUGAUUGGUCGUUUGGUUCAACGCUUCUAAUAAAUAAGAUCAAACCAUUGAAUAGAAUAUAAUCACAGGUCGGCGGGUUUAGAGCAAACUAACAGACGUUUUAUUUCACGCUUUGUGAUUUGAAUAGAGGAUGAUAAACGGGGGGGGUGAUAAACAGUGGCUCAUGGAGCAGAGAUCGGGC